GGGAAUAGAGAGGGGAUCACCGCCGCACUCCCACCCUUUGUUGUUAAACUACCUUGUUGCUUUGGCGGGACCGCCUUUUAAGAGCCGCUGGGGAUUCGUCCCAGGCGAGCGCCCCCCUUUGAUAAACCAAACUCUUGUUAUUUAACCGGUCGUCUGAGUUAAAAUUUUGAAUAAAUCAAAACUUUCAACAACGGAUCUCUUGGUUCUCGCAUCGAUGAAGAACGCAGCGAAAUGCGAUAAGUAAUGUGAAUUGCAGAAUUCAGUGAAUCAUCGAAUCUUUGAACGCACAUUGCGCCCCUUGGUAUUCCGAGGGGCAUGCCUGUUCGAGCGUCAUUACACCACUCAAGCUAUGCUUGGUAUUGGGUGCCGUCCUUAGUUGGGCGCGCCUUAAAGACCUCGGCGAGGCCUCACCGGCUUUAGGCGUAGUAGAAUUUAUUCGAACGUCUGUCAAAGGAGAGGACUUCUGCCGACUGAAACCUUUAUUUUUCUAGGUUGACCUCGGAUCAGGUAGGGAUACCCGCUGAACUUAAGCAUAUCAAUAAGGCGGAGGAAAUU
rnacentral:misc_RNA from 1 species